GUGGGAGCGCCGGGCUUCCUCUUUCCGCUCUCACGUGGCGCGCAGCAUGGCGGUGCCGCACGCUGGGGUUCGGUGGCUGCUGAUGGCGCGGGAAUCUGCAGUGACCGCGGCGGCUUUGGGCCUCCCGUCCCUUCCCGGGCGAAGGGGAGACGGCGCGGACUCGGCGGCCGUGUGAGGAGCCCGGCCGGCGGGAAAGCCAAGCGCCGGCCGUGAUGGAGAUGGUCACCGUGUGUGCAAAGGUGGGUGUCUGAAGCUGAGCCACACUCCCAGGACGACACGCGGGAGCCAAGGAGGCGUAAGGGUGUCCUUGAUGAUUUGGAAAUUUGAUCUUCAGAAACAUGGAUGACUUAAAUUUUCUAAGAGGUCUGUCAAGACACUGCAUAGAUGAAUGCAUUUUGUAACAAGGCUAUGAAUAAAAUAUUUAAUAU